rnacentral:misc_RNA from 1 species
AAGUCGUAACAAGGUCUCCGUAGGUGAACCUGCGGAGGGAUCAUUAACAAAGAAUGUUGAAGAGGGAGUAGGUGUUGUUGCGUAAGCAAUAGCUACUCGCUCUUCAACACAAAAACUCGCGUUGCCGGCAUCUGUUGUUACUAUCGUGGCGACAAUGUUGGUAUACACACAUAGAGUCACUUUUAUUACAAAACGAUAACAACGAUAACAGAAUACAACUUUUAACAAUGGAUCUCUUGGCUCUU